rfam:Aspergillus niger supercontig An14
ACAUACGACCAUAGGGUUGGAAAAUAGGGCUUCCUGUCCGCUCAGCCGUACUCAAGCCACAUGCCGGGAGGUUAGUAGUUGGGUGGGUGACCACCAGCGAAUCCCUUCUGUUGUAUGUA